GACACUUUGGCCGAGUGGUUAAGGCGCCGCCCUGCGUAAGCCGAUUCACCUCUUAAGGUCUGCAAUUCUUCAACUAACAUCUAAACUAGUAUUAUCCGUAUAUCUACGAUAAAAAAAGGCGGUCAGUUCGCUGGCGUAGGUUCGAAUCCUGCAGGUGUCG
rnacentral:tRNA from 1 species